rnacentral:rRNA from 1 species
GUCUAUGGCCCCUUCACUCUGAACAUGCCCAAUCUUGUCUGAUCUCAGAAGCUAAGCAGAGUCGGGCAUGGUUAGUACUGAGCCUGGGAGAGAAUAGUCACUAUGAUGU